rnacentral:lncRNA from 1 species
AAGGCACUAAUGAUGGUGAGGGGGCUGGUGGUGGAAUAGCUGGUGCUGGCACAGGUGCCGGUGGUGGUGUUGCUGGUGCGGGUGCAGGUACUUCCUUAGCUGGAGCUGGUGCUGGUGGUGGUGUUGCUGGAGCUGGUGCUGGAGACACUUGUGGUGGCGGUGUAGCUGGUGGUGGUAUUGGAGUGGCAGCUGGAGAACUUUGUGGUGGUUGUGGUGGUGGAACUACUGGGGUGGUAGCUGGUGCGACUUUAGGAGAUGGUGAUGAUAUAGGAGUGGUUGCAGUUGGGGGUGUCACUGCACUUGCUGGUGAUUGUGUUGGAGUGGUUGGUGUGGUUGUGGGUGGAGGUGUGGUGGUUGUAGGUGUUGAUGGCGAAACAGCUGGUGUUUGGGCAUCAGUAAUAGCUAGUGGGAAACUCAGACAUGCCAAGAUGAGAGCCCAAAGCACCGAAGCCAUUUAGUUGUGAUGAGAAUCAACAGGAAGACGUAACAUUGUUAUAUAGAGUUAUGGAAAGGCUUUUAAAUUUAGUAAAUGUUUGGUGGAAUGUUAAGAGGGAGAGAUGUUGUCUUCAUUUGAAUGCGACAUCCCUUCUAAUGAUCUGGAGUGAUGUCGUAUUCGGACAGCUCUGCAAUUGGCUGGUCCUAUCAACCAAGAUUUGGGGCCUAAAAUUGAGAAAUCUUGCUGAAGAAAAAAGAUGUACUGCUUUAAGUUUUAGCUAUAUGGAUGCAGUUAUUUGUGUUGAUAGGAUUGUCAAUGGUUGUGCUGUGUUUGAUUUUUUGCUGUGCAUUUUCAACUCAUUUAGAACCGAGCACGAAGAGUGAAGGCUCUGGAGUUUCUUUUUCUUCAAGGUGGAAUGUCGUAAUUAGGCAAUAUGUGUUUGCUUUUUACUAGAAUCUUGAAACUAACAAAAACUUGAAUCACGAGUUUAUAUUUUAUGAUCAUAAUUUCCGCAAUCAUCGAUAUGUUGUGGUAAAUAUGGCAAAAUGGCUGGACAAGUGAUGGAGUGAAAUGAGAGGGAGGCAAUGCAGCCGGCAAUCCGGGCUAACCUUUCACCUACUCAGCAGAGACCACGAUGUCGAUCCUAACACAACCUAAACAUUGGUAAGCAGUCCCUGUCCGAUUUAAGGAAAGAAAGGUCAGGUUCCCUUUUCUUCCUUUCUUUUUUUGUUGGUGUUUAAUAUUAUAGUGCAUGGUAUUUUAAAAAAAAUAUUUUUAACUUGAAAAUAUACUAAAAUUAUUUUUUUCCAGAUUUUUAUUUUUAAUAUCAUCAAAACCAUUGGAAAAUACAAAAAAUAUCAAUUUAAUAUUUUUUAAAAUUAAGUACAUCCAAAUACAAUUUCAAAUACGGAAACAAAUUGUGCCUACUCAGUUAAGGACUUUUGUUAGUUCACGGAGCACUCUCCGAUCGAGUUUGGAAAGUCGUAAUCAAAUGCAUAAUGCCCAACGCAGGAGCUGAUAAUUGUCAUACCCACAAGUUCAGGCUUGAGACCAUCUGUUGCCAGAUUCUAACCACCCACAAUUGGGAAAGCAAAUUGUAUCAAAUUAUCAACUUUCAUAACUUGGGGCUGUUCUGCCAACCUGACGAUAUCCACCAGUCUCUGCCAACGAAACCCCCCCCCCCCUUUUUUUUUUUUUUUCCACAACGGACAUACAAAAUUUCUGCAGUUACAAUUACAGAUUAUAACUCAAAAGGGUUUACACUUUACAGUGGUUUGCCACAGCUGAUCUAUGACAAUUGCUACCGCAGGCCCACAUGGAAUCAAGAUAUCUGGGCCCUGAGGACUGAUAUCUGUGACUAUUUUCAAUGAUAUGAUUAUCUCUCAAUGUUAAUAAAAGGUUUUAUUCCCAAGUCAUUUUUCACCUUUAGACGUGGCGAUUUGAAGUUUGUUGGAUUUCAUAUUCUCAUAAAGACACCGAAUAUAUAUUCAAUUGGAUUGAAAGAUAAUACAGUUUCCAGAACGUUUUUUAUUAACUUACUUGAUGGUGUUCUACCAUCUCUUACAAACAGAACAUGGCAUGGAAGAUAUCUUGCAUCUUACCGAGGAUUUUAGAUUGUGGGUUUGUUAUGGGAAGACAUGAAGGUUGAGGAGGGGAAUCUUCUUUCUUCUCCUUUUUCCUUCUCCUAAGCUGGAAAAAUUGCUGCAUUACAUCUGCACACUCCAAUUCCAAUAUUCCUCGCCGGAUUGCCAUCUUUGGAUGGAAAGGAUGGACUGGAGCGGCUGGCUUAUCUGCCAGUUCUGAGCCAUUUCCAUCUCGUCCAUCAGGAAAAAGCCUGCAAGGAUUGUCACACAGGAAACUUUUGGGAAUCAUAAGCCUCGGAAAUUUCUGUUAUGAGUCGGCUGAAUGCCUGAUCAACUUGAAUCUAACUAGCGUGUGAAUGGUGGUUUGUUCUAUCCUCUAUACCACCAACCACCCCCCCCCCCCCAAUUCUAGCAGGGAUUUACUUUGUGGUGACUGGAACAAGCAGAGAUUCAUGUAAUACCAGCAGCCAUUUCAGAUAAUGGCUAUGGAAACCAAUUUAUCAUUUUCUUCCCAAUAAAAAAAAUAUAAUAAGAAAUAAAUGACUGAUUUAAUAAAUGUGCUCUAUUAAUUAUGUUUUGAUCCACGGAUGCAUUGGGAGCACUAUGAACAUUGAUGACAGAAACAGGAUAGGGGAACAAUUCAAAAGGAAGAAAAUGUGCCAAGUGUAUCUAAGUCUAAUUAUAUUGUAAUGGCAAGGCAAUGUUAACCCUUUCCCAUUGGGACAUAAUGUAUGGUCAGAUCACUUUAAUAACCAUUAACCAGUCUCAGCAUGGACGGACCAAAUAAGGCAUUUCUGUUUUGAAACGAAUUUGGCACUCAUAAUUUUUAUCAAGUAAAACACUUUAAGAACAAGGCUUUGAUUCUUCAUAAAUAAUAGUCAGAUGUACAAAAGACCAGUCUCCCAUUUCAAUGAGAUUUCAAGGAAGAUGAGCUUACCUAAUCCAGCUUCCAUCAGCUCCAAGAAGCUUAUUGGGAGCUCCCCAUACAAGAGUAUUUAUUCUUGCUUGAAGUAUUGCUCCAGCACACAUAGGACAUGGUUCAAGUGUUACAUAAAGAGUAGUCUCCUGCAAAUCAAAUCAUUAAGCCCUCGCUGUGAAUAUCAGCAGAGUUAGAACAGUUCCUUGAAAAGUGAUUUCCACUUUGAAAGUCAGCUUUCAUUUGAUAAGAUAUAAUUUUCUUAGUAUCUUUUCCUUUCGUAUGUAAAACUUAGUCAUUGAAGAGGUUAAAACAGUUUGAUAAUGACUAAACUAGUUAAGAGUGAAUGCAUUAAUUAAUAAUUAUAGUUUCUUUAUGACAUUGAUUAUUUCAAAAGAAUCGAGGGAGUAAAUAAAAGCUUUCAAAACAAAGAGAAAGUACCGAAAGCCUCCAUGACCGGAGUUGAUUUGAUGCCUCCCUAAUGCAAAUCAUUUCUGCAUGGGCGGUGGAGUCUCGUAACUCCUCCACUCUGAAAUAUAAAUCUCCACAUAAAACCCCAAAAUAAAGAAGCACAAUAUAAGGUUUUAAUCACAAGUGCAUACAACUUACAGGUUGUAGCCACGAGCAAUAAUCUUCCCAUGAUGCACCAUCACGGCCCCAACAGGCACCUCCCAAGAAUCGGCAGCCUUCUUGGCGUCUAGCAGGGCUUCCCUCAUAAACAUUUCAUCAAUUUUCCGCUGCUCACUUUCACAUAAAUAAGCCUCUUCCCAUUCAUUGAAUCUGUCUCUCCCAACUUGCUCAUUUCGUUGAAGCUUCCUUUGUUUCAACUCCACACCCUUCCCCUCAGAGCCUGCUACUUCAAUUAACUUUUCACUAUCAGGUCGCUCCAUAAGCUCCAUUGAGCCACUAACAGAAAUAUUAUUUUUAGCAGCACCAAAACUUUCUUCCACAAUGGGACCACUUGUGCUAGAAGGCGGCGAUAAAACUAGUGAUGAUUCCCCUACUUCCAUGCUAGAUGUAGCAACUUGAGAAUUGUUCCUAUCUUGACUACAACCAAGGUUUUCCUCUUCAGAAGGUGAGGAAAUACCUUUUGACGUGAACCCAAUUUUUAAUGUAAUUGAAGGAGAUGAAGUGUCUCCUUCAAGCGGUCUUAUUACGUUCUUUGAUCCAAAUGUGUCAGAUGCUUUUACCUCAUCUGGACUAGAAGUCUGUGUUAGUUGCAGCUGGUGAGAAGAGGCAGCUUCCUUAGGCAUACUUUUUCUUUCCCUUUUCAGAUUCUUAUCACUGAUUUCAUCAGGUUCAUGGCCAGAAAACCAUGCUUCACUAGUAACAGAAUCAUUUGACAAACUCUUUCCACCUGAUCUUCGAGUUGAUUUAGGGGUUUCAGCAUGUGAACCCCAGCGCAGUCGUACUAUAUUUGAGAUGAUAUUCCACAUGGACCUUCCAGUUCUCCUAACAACAAUACUCUUGAUUGCUGUGCUACCUGCUGGUGCUUCUGUCUCUGGAGGUUCCUGAACAGACGGGUUUGUUACAUUCCACAUUUCAUCUGAAGGACCCUUCUCUCCAGAGUCCCCAGAUGAUUGCAUUGAGUCCUGCCUCUUCAACUGUAAGUCUUUAGUAUCAUAUUGACUUGAACUCUUUCGCCUCUGCUUCUCAACUUCAUAUGCCAACUUUGUAUCAGAAACUGUCUUCUCCUUUUGGAUUUCAGAAGUUGACACUUCAUGCCUAGCUUUCUCAACAAACUCUCCAACAAACUGCAUUGAUGACGCCUCUAAACGAUGAGCUGAACCAAGAGCAUCUUCAGUCAAGGUAAGAUUUGAAGCCUCCCCAUAUAUCUCAUCUUUCUUAUUUCCACCAUAUUUUUCCUGCUGGAAAACUGCAGUUCUCCUUCCAGAAUUUCUAUACAGAGUACUAGAGCCACAUUCCAAAGAUUCUCUGGAAUCCUCUUGAUUUGCGAUCCCACCAGAUGAAUUAAUAUGAAAUGAACCUCGAUCUAACAAUUGAGGUGAGGGAAGCAUCGUUAUUGUCUGUGAUGUUCUUUCAUUCCCCUCCCCCACAUCAACCUGUUGAAUUCCAACUUUGGAAACCAUAUUUGCAGAUGCUUGAGAAUCAAAGGCCUCCUGUGAAGUUGUUUCAUGAAGCCUUAAUUUGUUAGUAGCCCUACAAACCUCACUUGAAGAUUUGGACUGAGUGAGAUUUUGCUCAAUUUUAUCGUCUCUCUCCCUUGUCUCGCAAAUGGCUUUCACAGCUGAUGUCAAUUCAUUUUCUUGAUCAAAAACUCUCUUUCCAGAAGUUCUGCCAAAAUUGGUGACCAUUGUCAUAUCGCUUGCAUGGACCAGUGACACAUUGGUGAAAUCCAGAGAUAUAUUGGUGGCAUCUCCAGAUACCUUGCUGGAUUCAGUUCCCUGAAGAGCUUUUUGAUCUGUGUGCGACUGGUGCUCUUUUGCUUCGGUACCUGAUCUAGAAACAACACUUUUACUUACCUCCUGCUGCUUCAUUCUAGUUUCUGAUAGUAGAAUCGAAGUCUUUUUGUUACUACUGUCAUGAACUUCUGAUAUUUUAGAUAACUGUUGUGAACUUCUUCUUGACUGAACCUGUCCACUUGUCUGCCCACCCAUUUGGAAUUUUUGCUCAUUUGUCUCAUAAAAUGAUCCUAGAGCUCUAUCUUCUACCAGAAUCUUCAUUCUAGACUCAGAUUGCCUCUGCAAAUUUGAAACUCUUUCAGUACUGGCAUUCUCAGUUGUUGAUGUGUCAAUGAGUUGGUGAGUGGCUCUUCUUAUAUUGUUUUUUGCAGCAGUUUCACCAACUCUUUUAUAACGUUCAUCCCUUCCUUCCCAAACCAAAUUUGCAUCCACUAGAUUUUCUUCUCUACCACUGAACCGCUUCUGGGAUUGGGAAGCUUUUUCAACAUUUAUUCCACUCCUCUCCUGUUUAUUGGUAAUUUCCUGGUAACUUCUUCUGAAUUCAGAUUGCUCUUUGACUUGAUCCCCCAUCUGACAAUAUCGCUUUCUUGUUUCUUUCUCCAAAUUAACCGCCAAACUUUUCUCAUCCUCAUUGCCAAUCUGGUUAUGAGAACUUGAUACCUUCCUGUAAUCACUUUCAUGGUUUCUCGCCAUUCUUGAUUGCAUUUGUGAGGAUUCUCUUUCUGAUUGUGUUUCUUCAAUCUCAGUAAGUUUCUUCUCAGAUUUCUUCCUCGGAUCCCACUCAACACCAGUCCUUCUUGCACUAGUUCUCGCUUCCAGAACCUCCCCCUUCCACUCUGUGCCAUCUCUAUGCCUCCUAAACUCUUCCACAACUUGCCCCUCUGAUCUACCCUCUCCACUUCUUAAUUCCUUCCUGUAUCCACUUGAUGAUUCUUUGGGACAAUCAACAUAUUCAUCCAGAGAUUCCGUGUCACUCUCAAUAUCUCCUGCAGAAGAAAGUGAAUAAAAUGACGAAAAACUAGAGCUCACUCUCCUUCCCCUGUGAUUCUCCCCUUUUGAAACCGCUUUCUUUUCUUCCUUUUCUUUCUGGUCUUCCAUCUCUUCCUUCCUCAACUCAACUUUAGCUGACUCAAAUUCACAUUUUGCAUCACCCUCCAAUGAACUGAGCCCAACAUUCUUCUUCCUCCUCCUCCCCUUGCGAGUUCCGCCACUGUGAUUCCCCCUCUUCACCAUUUCCACUCUCUUCGACAAACCCCAAUAUCUCUCCCCGUCACCUAAACACUGUCCACUCACUUCCUCGCUCAACAAACUAAUCACAGUCUCUGCAUCAUUAACCCCACUAAAACAUCGCCUUCCGCGCAAUCUUACCCCCCCAAUCCCUCCCUUCCUUCUCCUAAGAAUUUUCUCACUCCCAUUAUUCUCCUUAAAACAACAACCAUGAUCAACACCAUAAUCCGGGACGCGGUAAUAAUCCCUACCCAUCCCACCCAAGAUCAACCUUCUAGAAGCUGAACAUUGAAUAAGACUAGCUUGCCUCAACCCAAAAAAAAAACCUGGGUUUAUUGGCACUCUAUGUAAAGUAGCAGUAGUAGUGAAUGAUGACGAUGCACAACAAGAACAAGAAAAGCAACAACAAGAACCACAUGAUGAAGAACAAGAUUGUAAUAAAAAUGGGUUUCCUUCAUUUAAUGAGUUAGAGUAUUCAUUGAAAGAAAAUGAAAGUGGCCCUUUCGUUCCAAGAGACAAAGAAGCUAAGCUAAUGUAAGUGUUGGGCAUCUUUUCUUUUCCAAUGUUAUAGAGAGAGGCUUACCUUAAUGGAUUUUGUGGAGUUUUUUAAGCUGAAACUGGGAGUGAAACCAUGUGAGGUGUUCUGUUUUGGAACUGGUUUCAUGAUUUCUACUUUCGGUUGAGAGAGAGCUAGUGAUUUUGAAUCCGAUGAGUUGACUCUCUCUGGGUUGGCUUAACUCGGUCGCCUAUACAGAGUGAAACAAACUGGGCUGCUGGCUUUUCAUGUGGUUGCACUUAACCAAACACUACUGGGCCUUCAAUGUAAUACUAAUUGGGCUCUGAUCUAAAAUUGUCUUCUUAAGAAGUCCAAUCCAUCCAGCCCACUAUAAAGACUGAGUUUUUGUGCUUUUACUUGCCGAAUUAAAGUCUCUUUUAUUAACUAGUAAUCAUUAUUGAUCGGCGCUAUUCCGGGUCAAUUUAAAAUUUUAUUAAUAUAUAAAAAAAAUAUUUAUUGUUAAUAUUUUUCUAGUAUAAAAAAAUUAACUGUGUGGAGGUUAAUUUGAUAUAUCCUGAUCACCUUGAUGGAUCUAAAAACAAUCGAAACAACGUAAAAAUAUAGUUUGAUUCAUAAAAAAUCAAGAAAAUAUUUUUAAAAAAAUAAUAUUGAAAUAAAAAUAUAUUGGAUCAAUCCGGGUCAACCCGAGUUAACCCCAUAUAAAGCAAAUCAAAAUAAAUUAUGAAAUUUAAUUCUCAAUCAACCCAAUGUUGAAGAAUGAAAUUGAAAAAAACUAAUAAAAAAAUAAUUGAAUUAACCUAUCAAACUCGUGACCCGGAUUAUGAGAUUAUGAUAACCUUAUAAAAAGUAAACAAAAAAAUGAUAUAGGUCAAUUUAGAUUAAUUUUUCAAACUCGCAACUAAAGUCAUGAGACUCGAAUAACUCCAUAAAAAGUAAAUCAAAAUAAAUUAUGAAUCUCGGUUUUUAAUAAAUCUAAUAUCAAAGGUUAAAAAUGAAAAAAAAACAAUUUAAAAACAUAACACGAUAAAACAACGUGAGUUGCAUGGGAUAACCCGCAAAACAUAUUACCUGAAUCAUAAGAUCAAGAUAACCUUAUAGAAAGCAAACUAAAAUAAAACAUAAAGUCUAAUUCAUAAUCAACCUAAUAUUAAAAGAUGAAAUAGAAAAAAAAUAUCAAUUAAAAAAUAUAAAAAAAAUACUCGAGUCAACUAGAUUAACUCGUCAAACUCAUGACUUAAGUCAUGAGACCGAUAUAACCUUGUAGAAAAUAAACCAAGAUAAAUCAUGAAGCCUAACAUCCAAUCAACUCAAUGAUAAAUGAUUAAAUUGAAGAAAAAUAUCAAUUAAAAAACAAAACUCGAGUCAACCCGUCAAACUCGUGACACGGGUUAUGAAACCAAGCUAACAACGUAUAAAGCAAACCAAAAUAAAUUGUGAAGCAUAAUCUUUAAUAAACUAAAUAUUAAAGUAUGGAAUUAGAAAGAAAAAUAGAUUUAGAAAGAAAAAAAAACUAUUAAAAUGAAUAGUAUUUUAUAAUACAGUGUAUAAUAAAUACACAAUCUCUCUUAAUUUAUACUAUAUUAAUUUUAUAUAAGUUAGAAAAAGUUUAUAAUACUCCAGGAUUAACUAACGAUGGCUACACUAUCAAUCCUCCUUAAAGAUACAGACAAGUAAAUAAACAAAAGAGAUAUGUUUAUUAAAAAAUUAUUUAUUAAAAUAUUUAUUUAGAGUUUAAUUGGAGAUGAUAAUGUAAAAAGAAACUCACUUAUGAAAUGAAUCAACAUCCAAUUAUGAAAAGUUAUGCUGCUUGCAAAAUAAAUUACAAGAUUGUGUACGUACUCUUGUUAUUUUAAUUAUACAUGGGAUUUAGAUAAUAAUAUCAUUUAGAGGAUAAAAAUAAUGAUUUUGAUGAUUUAUCGUAGUAGUAGAUUAAUACUAUACAUGUGUUACGAGAAUAUACUCGAUGAUGUUUUCUUAAGAUAAAAACAUAAAAUCUCAAUGGCUUUUAAUUUUUUUUAUUUUAAAUUAAUAUGUUUUUAAAUUAUUUAAUAUACUCGAUGAUGUUUUCUUAAGAUAAAAACAUAAAAUCUCAAUGGCUUUUAAUUUUUUUUAUUUUAAAUUUAAUGUUUUUAAAUUAUUUUGAUAUAUUGAUAUAAAAAAUAACUUUUUAAAAGUAAAAAAUAUUAUUUUAAUAUGUAUUUUAAUAUAUUUUAAAAUAAAAAAUACUUUAAAAAACAACUACAAUCAUAUUUCUAAAUUUUAACAACGGAACUGUUUUUUUAAAAAAUAUAGUCCUGUACAGUACUGGCAAUCUAGAUAUAAAUUAAAUAAAUAUUUAAUCGAUUGAUUAUUCAUCACUGGAUACCUAAUUUCUCUGUGCCUAAUAAAAAGUCAGCAAUUCUGUUUGAUAACUUCAAAUCAAGCAUGGUGCCGGCCGGCCCGUGGAAAAAAUCAUGCAUGGUGGCUAUGGCUAACAAGCACCUUCAAAGUAGAUUCUCUCUUAAAUCCCAAUUCAGAGCACUCACAAUUGACAUAAUUCAUUAAUUAUUAUUCAUUUGUCCGUGGAAACGCAGUAUACGUUGCCAAAAAAGACUCAGUUUAUCAUUUUUUAAUUAAGAUGAUCAGCUAGUGGCAACCCUUUAUUCUGGUGAUUAUGUUUUGAUUUUGUAGAUUGAUUAAACUCUUGACUUGGACAAAAGUUAUGGAUAUAUUUGGUUAUAAACAAUGUUUAGCUUAUUUUAAAAAUCAUUAUAAAAUUAAAUUAAAACUCUACUUUAAUAUUAGUUCUCAAUCUUAACUUGUACUAUUUUUCUUUAGCCAAAUAGACGUUUCGAGUCAAAAAGAUUCAUCAACCAUGUUUUUAACUUGAUUAUUUAUAAGUUAUUCAUAAAAAAUAAUUAAAUAAAUAAUAUUAAUUCGCGAUUAGAAUCAUAACAAUUGAAAAAAAUACGAGACUAAAUUAAAACCUCAGUAAACCUAAAUGAUGAAAUUGCUGUUAAUGGCAGUGUACACUUGUCGGAACUUAGCUGUGUUGCGCAUAAAAUAUUAAUUUAAACAUCUCUAAAUUGAGAGCUGUUGCAGCUGUUCUUCUUUUUCCGCACGGUCCUCUUCAUUAAGGCACAUCUUAAGGUCUCAGCUAAUCUCUUAUAUUCGUCAAAAGAAGAUUAAUUAGCUCCUACAAUUAAUUAAUGAAGCCCUGGCAUAAAUAACAUGUAUUUUUCUUUUUAGUACAAAGACAUGAAUUUCACGUGGCACAAAUAGUUUUACGACACAUCAGUCAACAUGCUUUUUUUUAUUAAGAAAUCAAAAGGCAGACUCGAACCUGUAUGCAUGCAUGCAUGCAUGUAUGUAUGUAUGAGUGAGUGAGUAACAACAACAUUAUUAAUGAUAGUAUAAAUUAAGUAGAUAUACUAUUUGAAUGAUAAAAUCAAUUAAUCCAAGGAUCAGGGGGUUACAAUGGCUUGAAAUCUCAGGCGUUGACGCGUUCGUAUGAAUAAUUGAGUACAGGUCCUCAAAAUUCUUCAGUCCUCUUCGACGUCUUCAUUAUUCCUUGGCCAGCAUUACGUAUAGUAAUAAAACUCAUAAUAUACAGAACCCUCACACACACAUAAUGUAUAUAAAAUCUCCUGGGAGGGCAUGUGUAAGUCUUGGUGGCUAAACUGGCUGGAUCUUUCUGUAUUUGUUGCUUUUGAUUAAUGAAGAAUUCUAGUUUAUCUAUAAAAAAAGACUAACUGUAGAAGCUCUGGGCCUGAAAUGUUUUAAUAUACACUCCAACUUGUUGGACGAACGCGUUUCAGGAUGCCUCCCAUUCCAAUUUUGAUUCUUUUAUUUUUGUAAAAAACAAGAGGUUUUUUAUUGGGAUAAUAAUCACAGCUAUAUAUAUAUAUAUAUAUAUAUAUAUAUAUAUAUAUAUAUAUAUAUAUAUAUAUAUAUAUAUUCACACACACACGUUCUGAUGUUUUGUAUUUUGAAAUUAACCUCAAUCAUGAUCGAUGAAAGCAAGAUCAGUUUAAUUUUCCUUAGCAACUGCCGCGCGCAUCAGCUGGAAUAUUUGUGAUUGGGAUUUUAUCUCUGAUGUAUUGGAGAUUAUUAGAGAAUAAUAAAGAUUAUGUAUUUGAAUUUUAUUUAAUAAUUUAAGUAUUUAGAUUGAAUUAGUUUUUGAUAUGAUAUAAAAUUUCUAUUUAAGUUUUUAAAUUAAAUUUUACUUCAAAAGAAAAGAAAUAAAAAUGAGGAGGAGGAACUUAACUCAUCUGAACGAAGUCCCCCGCCAUGAUCAGUAGCCUUUGGCGGGUGUCAUUUGAUGUUGAAAGCGGCUUCAUUCAUGUGAAAUUCCUUUCACCAACUUUCAUGUGGUGGUAUUAAACAUUAGUAUUAUCUACGACUACUAGUAAUAGGCAACGUCGUGGAGAAAGAUUGACAAAGAAGUGAGCCCUUUUCACUGUUAAAUCAUCCAAUAUAAAGUAUUCCUUGUUGUGUUUAAGUUGAAAUUGGUGUGAUAUUGUUGGUUUUUCUUAGCUCUGUGACGCUAUGGCUUUGAUAAAUUUACCCUAAAUAUUGAUACCCCCUUCAUUGCCUUGCAGGGAUAUUAAUUAAACCAGAAAAAAAACACACCUUAUAUGCACCCACGAUCCAGUGACGAAGCUAUAAUUUUAAUAGAAGGUGACAAUAGUCGCGAAGGGAGAAAGAAUAAUCCAUCACUAUAGUUUUUUUUAAUGAUAAUAUUCCAUUAAUAUUUCCAGAGAUAUAUAGUAUUAUUUAAAAUAAAUAAGUAGCAACAAAACAACAUUGUGGUCAACAGUAUCAUUAAUAGAAAAUAUAUAUAUAUAUCAAACAUUCCCAAAACAAUUUUUAUAAAUUAUAAAAAUCAUUUUAAAGCUCCAUUACACAAUCGAUAGGUUUCUAAUUGACAAUUAGCGAUCUUUCUCAAUUGCAUAAAGUAUAAAUAUAAAAGUAAGAACGAAAUAUUCCAAAAAUCAUUGAAUACAUUAAUUUACCAGUUAUACACCAUUAAUUCUUGUUAAUUUUCAUUUGAUAACGAAAUAUAUUUAAAGAAAAUUUGGCUGAUUGAUAUUCUCAAGAUGCAUGAAACUAAGUCAUUGGUCACGAGUUCACCGAGUCAAUAUAUAAAUAAAAAUUAUUAUUAGUAUAAUUUUAAAAUUCAACUCGAGAUAAGGUUCAAAUCAUGAAUUGGAUGAAUCAUCCCAGCUGAUCCAAAUUUAAUUUUAAGAGUAAUCAAAACAAAAUUAUUUUAACUAAAAAUAAUUUUUAAAAAAAUUAAUAAUUUUUUUAUUGGUUCAAGCAUGGUCAAUCAUUUCUCUAUUUCUUCUUAAACUCUAUAUAUUAAUGGUAAAAUAUAAUUUUUUUAUAUUUUAUUUUGUUUUGUUUACAAUAUCUAAACAUGAUAUAAAAAUAAUUAUUUUAUUAUGUACAUUAUUAUCAAAUAUAUUUUUAUAUAUUUUUUUUAUCUUAUCUCUAUUGUUUUUAUAUUGUUUUCGUAUUUUAUGUCCUGUGCCAAACGCUUCCAUAAUAUACCACAUGCUUGCCAGAUAAAAAGCCCCAAGGCACCACUGCCGAACACCUGGGAUCAGGGCGGCGAUGGCUAGACUUCUUAUUUGUCUGUCAUAUAUUUCGUUGCCCCAGACUCGGAUAAUGUUAGUCCUUUUAAAAGAGCCAUAGAAAUGGGUUGUGCAUGGAUCCAUGUUAGUAGCGGUGAUUAUUUUUUGUUCGGUUUGGUUUUUAUUAAAAAAAAUAAUUAAAUCAAAACUGGUUCAAACCGACCAGUUUCGGUUCAGUUUUUUAGGACAAAAACCGGUUCAAACUGGUUUGGCUCGGUUUUUCUGAUUUGGCUCAGUUUUUCCGGUUUGGCUCAGUUCGGUUUUUUCGGUUUCGGGCUUAUAAAACCAAAACCGAACCGAUCGGCUUUUUCAAAAUUUUAAUCGGUUUUUUUUACGGUUCGGUUUUUUCAAUUAUUUUUUUUUAGUUUUCUCGAUUUAAUUGAUUUUUCAGGUUUUUUACUUAUCCCUGAAUAUUAGCACCAUAUACAUUCGAAUAAUUGAUUGAUAAAUACAUAGUCCCUUUUAAUCAUUGCAUUUUUUAUUUUCAGGCUCGUCGUUGUCUUUCUAGAUAAUUCUGUCAGGCUCCCAAAUGAGACGGUAAUCUAAUAUAUUUCCCAGAAACUGUUGUCACAGUACUCCAAUGACCAUACGAGCACAAUUUCUAUGUAGAGUUUUGUACGUCGUACAUGACAAUCUAGAAUAGUUGACUAGUCCAAGUUUGAUGACAAGUCAAGGUCCAAGGAUGAAGAUAACCUUUCUUCCAGUUAACUAUCAACACGUUCAAUAUAGACGCUUAACGACGACCAUUUCAAAAAACAUGUAUGGACUUCUUCAUGUGAACAAAAAAAUGGCAUGAUUUGGUAUCUAUUCAACAAACUAAUUAAUUCGCCCCGGAUAAUUAUAGCACAGAAAGGUUUUAGCUUGAGUGAUGUAAAUCCAAAAGGAUCGAAGGACCAAGUCAUGAAUCAGUGAUGAAUUUAGAUUUAACAACAAAAAAUCUUUAUAGAUGAUGAAAUUGGGUCUUAGUUUAUAGUAUAAUAUAUGCUAAGCUCAGUUAUGUGUUUCGUUGCCAGCCGGAUCAAAAUCCAUGUUGCUAUCGUUUCAACCUAUACUUAACCCUAACUCAAAUGUAAAAUAAUAAAUUUGUCAAAUCAUAAAAUAGCAAAAAAUCCAAGAAGUGAAAUGAAAAUAUAGCAACACAUUGAAUUGCUCCGUGUUAACUUGUGAAAUUGACAACUCAAGUAAUGAACACAAUCAUAGUGACUUAACCCGAUUAGCCAACCUUCCUCUUUUUUUUCCUACCCUAUCCUUUUCAUGGUUAGGCUUUGAUCGAAUCUCAAUUGACCUUAGGUUCGAUUAAAGAAUGAAGACAAAGUAUAAGAAAUAGAUAAAUGAUGAACUCAAAAAAUAUUAGCUUAAAAAAAGAAGGAAAAAAGCAAAAUCAAACGAAUCUCCUAAACUUUGAUUAAUCUUCUAAACUCGCAACUCAUGAAAUCUUAAGACCAAGUUCAAUAAAAAAACUCAAUUCCUAAUUAAUUUAAUGUUGGAAGAUGAAAUGGUAAAGACAAAUAAAAAAAUGUCAAGGUAAAAGAAAUUGCAAUAAAAAGAACGAGAAUAAAAUCAAUUAGAAAAAAAUUGGAGGAUGAAGUUAUUAAAAAACUUUAAUUCUAAAAUAUGUAAAAUAAAUAGCAAUAAAGGGAAUGAGUAUCAAUUUUAACAGAUAAAAAAAACAAAAAAGAAUGAAAUUGAAAAAAUAAAUAAAAAGUUGAAGGAUGAAAUUAAAAAAACACUAGCUUAAAAAGAGGGAGGGGGGAACCAAGCAAAUCAGGGCGCAUUCUCUAAACCUCGAUUAACCUUUCAAGUUUGCAACUUGUGGAAUCUUAAACCUUGGUUCCAAUCAGGAAAUUCAAUUCCUAAUCAAUUUAAUGUUGGAGAAUGAAAUUAUAAAAAAAAAAAUUGCCAAAGCAAAAGGAAUUUCAAUAAAAAGAAUAAGGAUUAAAUCAUAUAAGAAAAGUUUUUUGAAAGGGGGUGGAAUUGUAAGGAAAAGCUUUAAUUCUACAAAUUAUCUAAAACAAAACAAAUAGCAAUUAAGAAAAAGAGGACCAAAUCUGACAUAAAAAAUUAAAGAAAAAUGAAAUUUAACAGAAAAUAUAAUUAUAUAAACCAUCUAAAAAAAUAGUGAUAAAAAAACAAGGAUUAAGUCUUAAUGAAAAAUAAAUUGAAGGGUUACUUGAAAAAUCUAGAGUGACGUGUGAAAGUCGAGGUGAAAAGAAAAAAAAAAGAAAAAAAAAGUUUAUCGGUAUCAAAUUAGAGGUCAGAAUGCCACACAUUGUCGUGAGAGGAAGAGAUUGUCAAGACGAUUCCAACUACACUAAAGAAGUCCAUCAUUGAUUGUUAAACAUUAUUGCAUGUGUAAUUUGAAGGCGAUAAAGCAUUUGAUGCGUGUGCUAGCUAGCUUUCAAUUUUUAUUAUCAUUUUAUAUUUAUUAAAGGACUAAAUUGCCAUGUAAACAUAAUUAUAACAUAAAAACCAGGUUAGAAAAUGAAAUAACCCUGGAAAUCAAUUUAUUAGUUUUUGCUUUCAAAGGGUAUUUUUAUCAUGGUAUUAUGCUAACUAGAAGAAAAGAGAUGAGAAUGGCCUUUGAUGACGGUUUAUUAUUAUUUUUUGUUUUUUAAUGGUAAUUUAGAAUUGCAUUGUUAAAAAAACAAAAAAAGGAAAAAAAUCGAGUUGUUCCUAUUGAAUUUUGUAAUAACUAACUAUUAUGUCAAAAGAUCAAAUUAAAAAAAAAAUUACACAGUACAUAAUGAUGACAAAAAUGUUUUAGCCUUCCGUUUCGUUUUAGUUUUUUUUUAUUAUUAUUCCAUGAACAAUUGCAAACUAUUUCCCUCCCGGGCUUGAUAAAAUUAUGUAAAAUGACGUAGGUGUUAGCUCGGUAAUCGUCCACUUAGUUAAUUUCCAUGCCCAACAUGUUUAAUUGGAAUUAGUGAUUCGGUCACCGUCCACUUGGUUAAUUUCCAUGUCCAACACAGUGAUCAUUAGGUUCUCCGUUCCUUCAAUUCAUUGUCUGAUGUCUACUGAUUUUUUUUUAUUAUUAAUAUAAGUAUUCGGAUUAAUUUGCGUGUACUUCGAUUAAUCCCACGGAUCCUGAAAUUAACGACCAUGUAAGCUUCCAGUAGCCCUGAGAUUUAUGGGACUCGAACUAGUAUUUUUUCAGGAACAAACCUAGAACUUGAUUAGUUGAGCUACACCCCUCAGAUUAUCUACUGAAAUUUUUAAAUAAACAAGAAUACACUGUGAUUUUGCUGUGUCUUUAAUUUCAUUGAUCAUUAUCAUUAUCAUUUAUGAACGGGCCAAAUCCUUGGGAAGGGAAAACUGAUAAUAUGGUAUUGUUUGAAGAAAUAAUUUAUCUACAAAUGGGUCAAUUUUUAUUAUAAAAUACAUCCACAUAUAUAUAAUUUGAAUAAAGAGUCUUUUAUCCAACUCAAACAAAUAUUCUACCUGAUGCUGAAAUCGUUUUAAUAUUUUUAUGGAGUGAAUGAUUUAUUCCAUCUUAUAUAUGAACUUGUAGAACAAUUUAAGGGCUUUGACCGUAUAAAUACAAAUAAAAUUAAUUUUUAAAAAAAUCAAGGACCAGAAUAUAUACAAUUCUGUCAUCCACAUUGGUGGACCUAAUUAAACAAAAAUUCGUCCAACAUUUGGAAUGAAACCUUACAAGAAUAUUAUUCAAAUCCGAGGGCUGCUGCUGCUGUUCUCCCUUGUCUCUUCUAAGACCCACCGUUGUACAUAGACGAAUCAUAUGGAGUGCACAGAUUAAUUGAUUGAUUCCAGUUAUUUACCAUUAGGCAAAGCCAAGAGCUACGUGACUGCGAACAAGAUGGAGUAAUGCAGAAGAGUAAGAUUUGAGCUAUUUGGUAAUUUACGAGUGGUCAAGUCAUUUUCGUAAUCCUGGAAAAUAGAGGGUAAAUCCCACCUAUAUAUUACGAAUGGUCACAAUUAUUUUAUUUUCAUAAAUAGUAGCCUCAUUUAUUUGUUUUUUUAAUCACUAAAUCCAAUGAGAUUGAAUUCUAUGACAAGAGCAGCCUUCACCAUUCCUAAACCCCACCUCCAUCCACUGAACUUAAAACUUUCCAUUGAAAACCCUAAAUCUUAAUUACCUUCAGGGAUGUUGCUCGAGGAUCUGACAACAACCCUAGAUCACGAGCAAUCCAAAAUUACUAUCAUGAUUUUUUACCGUGUUUGAAAUUGCAGUAAUAGUUGUUUUAAAAUAAUAUUUUUAUUAUUUUUAAAAUUUAUUUUUAAUACUAGCAAAUCAAAAUAUUUAAAAAACAUUAAAAAAAUAAUUUAAAAAAAAUCAAAAUUCUAACGAACAACAUUUUAACAACAAUGCCAAACAAACUUUUCACCUCGCAAGGGAAUCGUCUUUUCGUGCGAGAGACAAUUAAAUUGGCAUGAUACGGACAUGGAAGCAUGCACAUUCCUAGUAUCAGUUAUCAGAACAUGAUCUACGAGGAUAUGCAAAUACGCUUGUAGAGUAAAUGACAAGGCAAUGUUUCUUUCUUUCAUGGACUGCCCGUCCCAAGCGCCAAUGACUUGGAGCCCCUCUCAGCUUCUCCCUCCCUCGUUCAGAUUAUGGACACCAUUGGAUUUGCUUGGUGAGGCACUAUACUUGCUCCUUCAUUUCCUCUAACUUAAAACUGGUGUCAAGACUCGACAUGUUCUUAAUUUCCCAUCGAAGAAAAAACUCUGCUGUUACAAGAAUGGUCUUCUAUCCAGACGUCCUAGCCAAGGGGACGACGUCUACCUUUCCUUGGUUGUAAACAAUACAAGAACGAUGGGUAAUUUGAAGAUCUUAGAUCAACCCUGUCAUGGGCUCCACGCCUUUCAUUUCAAGUGGCAUUCUAGAAGAUCAGAUAGAAAUUAACAUAUUUUGAAAUUAUAACACAGAGGUUGAAUUAUAGAACUUGGUAGCUUUUUAAUUUAUUUAUAAUAAUGUAAACUACAGUUCUGAUUCCGUUCAAUAUUGAUUUUUCUUUUAAACUUUGUCAUGCAUUUAUAUUGAACUUGUUUGAUUUCCCUCUUUAAACCAGAUUCAUUUUCACACUAUAUAUGCAUGCCCACGACGAGGAAUGAUAAUACACACACACACACACACACCCCUGUUGAUCUCGUUAUGACCUGUUUUCAACUAAAGAAUCUCCACUAGCAUAAUUUUUAUUUUUUACAAGUCAAAAGGAGAAAUAAAAUAUAGAUAAAAUUUAAGAGGGGUAAUUACAAAAAAAUAAAAAAUAAAAAAUACACCAAAAAGACAUCAUUGUAGGUUCUUUCAGUACCUUUCCCAAACAAAAUCAAUGAAUUUGUUACCAGAGGUAAUUCGGUUUUUUCGCUUGUGUCUAUUUUUUAUUAUUAUAUUGAUCGAGAAUAAAUUAAUAUUUUUAUAUUUUUUUAAUUAAUAAAAUAACAUAAUUACUUUUAAAACAAAAAAAAUAUUAAAUUGGCAUCCAAUAGCUUUUUUGUCUCUCAUUUUUUAAAUAGUUAAAUAACUAAAUUAUCCUUCAAAGCAAAAAUUACUAAAUUAGUGUUCAGGGUUUCUUUUUUGUAUUUUCAUCCUUUUUUUUGUUAUAAUCAAGUUGACUAAGAAACAAUUUAGUAAUUUGAUAAAUCUAAACAUUAUUUAAAAAAGUGGUUUGCGCGUGCAUUGCACGUGUCAACAUGUAAGAUGUGGCCUCGAUAUUCGGUUAGUGUGCGAGGGGGCUUUGAAGGCCAAACGGUGGUUUAUGGGGUAGCAUCCAAAAUCUAUUGGCGGCCAUUCCAUUCCUGGACGGCACGUGUGGCAAAUAGACCUUCGGUUUGGUGUCAGCGAUCUUUUUUCUUCUUUUUUCUCUUCUCUUUGAUUUCUGUGCCCGACCCUCUGAAUUUUCAAAGCAACCCUUCAAUUUGUUUCUAUCUUUAUAUUUGGUUUCUAUUCCUUUUAUUACUAUUUAUUUUAUUUAAAAUAAUUUAUAAAAUAUAUUUUUUUAAUUUCACCCCUCUUUAAUUUUUUUAUCUGUCAGAUUUGACUCUCAUUAUUCUGAUUACUAUUUUUUUUAUUUAAGAUAAUUUUUUUUCUUCUUACAAUUUUAUCCUCUAAUUUUUUCCUAUUAAAUUUUUUCCUUAUUUUUUUUCACUUUAGCUAAUUUUUUAAAAUUGAUAUUUUUCUCAAUUUCAUACUUCAACAUUGAAUUAGUUGAAAAUUGAGUUUUUUUUAUUGAGUCUAGGUCUAAGAUUUCAUGGGUUGCGAGUUUGGAAGAUCAACCCAAAUUUAGGAGAUUCACUCGGGUUUACUUAGUCCUCCCCUUUUUUUAAGUUCAUUUUUUUUCAGUUUCAUCAUUAAACAUUUAUUUAAUUGGAGAUUGGACUCUAUUAUUAUUUUUUAUUUGAUUUCUAUAGGAUUUUUUACUGAUUUUGAAAAUAAAUCGGGUUAUCUCAGGUGUUUUUAUUUGUCGUUCUUUGUUAAAUCUUGUUUUUUUAAAAAGAAAUUUUAUUUUUUAAUUAAAUUAAAGUAAUUGAUUAAACAUAGGCGUGAGAUGCUCACUUCAUGAUAUUUUGUUUGUUUUGUUUUUUGAAUCGUUUCUCUUACAACGUGUGCUGCGUCUUUUAGCGUCGCUGAGCAUCCUAUCACAAUGGUGUUAGAACCGUCUCUGUGAGUUUUUUUCAAGUAGUGAGGUGAUGUCGAAGGUAGAGCGACAUUGAAUAUCUAAUGAGCUUUUCCUUUUCUCCUUCCAAAUACAAUAUUGAUAAUUUAUUUUUUAUAGUUAAUUAUUAUUGAUUUUUUUUUUUUUUUUAUUGUCAAGACUUAUUAAAUUCAAUCAAAUCAAUGAUUGAGAUCUUAAUUUUUUUUUAAAAAAAAAUCAGAACCGCCUGAAUAUCUAUCUUUAUAUUAUGAAAAAAUUAACUCGAUUCAUGACGCGGCGCGAGUCACCAAAAUAUUGACCAUCAUAUAGUGUAAACAAAAUAUUCAUGGCAGCAAUUCCUAAAUUAAAAAACCCUGGCAACUGAUUAAAAAAAGAAAAAUUGACCCGCGCUGCUUCUGUCGCCGUCAUGACGGCGCCAUCUGGCAAUCCAAAGUCCAAACAAGACCAUGGCUCAAAACGUUCAAUAAAGAAGCACACACCUAACGGUUGGUAUUAUAAUUAAAUUAAAACCCGAGGUUUAUUCUUAAUCCGCAUUUGAUUAUCUCUCUCUCUCGAUAUGUUUUCUUUUUUCUUUCAGACUCGAUAGAUAAUUAAAUUAAUUGGAAGACCACAUUUCCGAUUCUCUUUCUUAGUUAUUUUCUUCCUAUGUUAUCUUACCUACAUUAUCUCAUGAUGUCUUCUUCCCUGUCUCCUAGGUUUAGGCCCUGAGCUAAAAUCUCAAGUGUUUUUUUAGUCUAAUAAUAAAGUGUUUUUGAAUUAAUUUAUACAUCAAUUAAUAUUAAUUUUUAUUUUUUUUUAAUUUCAAAGAUACGCACCUGCAUAACUUGGUAUAUUUAAAUAAUUUAUUUUGAAUCUAAAAAAAAACCAAUCUCAUUAACCAUUAAUGAACUCUUAAAUGUAAAAUUAGGAAUAAUGAUCUAAAAAGAAAAUGCUUGCCCCUCAAAGCAAGUAUCAAAAUCAUCUCUUAUGAAGUUUAUAAACGAAUGAAAGUUUAAAUUGUUUUUUGAAGUGUUUUUUUAUAUAAAAAUAUAUAAAAAUAAUAUUUUUUUAUUUUUUAAAAAUUAUUUUUGAUAUCAAUGCAUCAAAACAAUUUAAAAUAUAUAAAAAAAUUAAUUUUUUUUUAAAUUUAAAUUUUUACAAAACAUGAAACACAGUUUAAAUGCCAUAUUCACGGAGGAAGCACCGUUCCCGUCAUUCACCGUCAAUUCUAGUAACAGUUAUUAAUCAAUCAAUCUUACAGAUCUCAUGCAAGGCUUCCCUUCUAGAAUUACUCGCGUCACCGUAAUAAAAUUACCUUCCAAUAAAUAAUAAUAAUAAUAAUAAUAAUGAAAAAAGUCUUCAAAGUCUCGAAGCCAUCAGUCCUCGCAUAUACGGUGCUAAAUUUCCAUGGAAAAAGCAUUUUGACAAAUUCGUACAUCUAGAAGGAGCGUGUUUUCACAAUUAAUAUAAUAUUUCAUAACAAGAAGACUUGCUUUUCUUUUUGGGGGUUAAACAAGGAUAUUUCCGGAUUAAUUUUCAUUUAUCUAUAUAAUAAAAAAACAGAAUGGCGAGUGCUCCUAAAACAGGGAAGUAUUUUUUUAUAUAAACCAUCAUGUAAAGAAUAUUUCAACAAUAAAGAUAUUUUUAGGUUAGUUUUCAGCUAUCAAGAUUCAAGACUAAAUCUUUUUCGAUGAAAUUCUAAAUAAAGUAUUUCUGUUUUAAUGGACUCAAGAAGAUAUUUUCUUCAAACUUUGAAUGUCAAAGAAAAAAACCCAAAUUUCUUUAUCAUUUAACUAAAACCUUAAAAAAAUUAUAAAAAAUAAUCUUAAAUUCGUUUGAAAAUGACUUUAAAAAUAAGUUUAGUAUAAAAUUAAUACUUUUAAGAGUCUUGAAUAUUAAUAUAUCAUCAUAAAAAAACACAAAAUAAAUAAAUAAAUAAAACUAAUGCACUUCCAAUUCCACUUUUCCAAAAGCAAUAAAUGAAAAGGUAACUAUUUUCAAAGCAGCAGGGUAGCUAUUGAACCAAAGAGAAAAUAAUAAAUGAAAGAAAAUGAAGAACCAAAGAGAAAAGGUAACUAUUUUCUUUUUUUCGAAGAAAAAAGGUAACAGAGAGUUAAAUGAAAAGAGAAAAAACGAAAGGUAAAAAAACAAAAAAGAGGGAUCUAAUUGAACCAAAGUCUACGUUCAUAGCGUACAAGAUGCGCCAUCUCUCUUCUUCGUUUUCCUGCUGCUUUCCUUCUCCAAGAAAAAAUAAAAGAGAAAAUCCAAUGAAGGAAUAUCUUAAUUUAAUCAAAAAUACCAAUUCAAUGUAAGACUGCCAUCAUACACGUUGACAUUUUUCUCCACUAUCUAUUUAUAAGGAGAAUGGUUUGUUUGAGGACACAAUCCUGUUAACACCUUUGUGUCCUUCAGAGUAAACCACCCUUGUACUCUCUUGCCUUUGUGUUCUUGUUCAAAGGUAGAGAUUACAUAUAAUAAUUCACAUGAUCAUAGCUUCCCUUGUACUCUCUGCUUUUCUCUAAUCCCCUGUCAAUUUUCCUCGAAGUUCUUUGCUUUUCCCUUCUUUUCUUGUUCAAUUUUGAUGCUUGUGUUUUUGGGUUCUUGAAUUCUUAGCUUUUAGGGUUCAAUCACAUCUGGGGUUGGAUAUUACUGUGAAUUCUGCUUCUGGGUAUUCCUGUUUUCAUUCAAAGGAGCUGCAUUUUUAGCAUUCUUAAGUAUAAAGCCAAAAGGUUCUGGUGUUUGUUAGAGAAAGAGAGACAUGGCUGGUGGUGGUAAAAGGAAGAGGUUGAGUCUGAGCAAACUGUACUCGUUUGCAUGUGGAAAGACAUCUUUAAAGGGUGAUCAGUCCCAGAUGGGGGCACCUGGGUUUUCCAGGGUAGUUCACUGCAAUGAACCAGACUGUUUUGAGGCCAAGAUUAGAAGAUAUAGUGGCAACUAUGUUAGUACUACAAAGUACAAUGUUGCUACUUUCUUGCCCAAAUCAUUGUUUGAGCAGUUCAGAAGAGUGGCUAACUUCUAUUUCUUGGUUGUGGGUAUCUUGGCUUUCACCCCUCUUGCACCUUACACAGCUGUCAGUGCUAUUUUCCCCCUUAUUGUUGUUGUUGGAGCUACCAUGGUUAAAGAAGGUAUUGAAGAUUGGAAGAGAGCUCAGCAGGUAUGGUUUUAAUUUUUUAUUUGUUUGCUCAGAUUGGAUAUGUUUAUUGAUUAUGGUUUGAUGUGUUUGUAAUGUCUUCUUGACUUCUCUUAAAGUGAAGUUUCAAAUUACUCUCUACUGAUUGAAUGGUAUUCAUAUGAUUUGAUGAUGAAAUUUUGGGAUUAUUUUUUUAUUUUUUUUUGAUUUUUUUCAUGUUAUUUGCUUGGACAUAUCUGGGAAAUAUUUUGCAUAGAAGUUUAGUAAGGCUUUAGAUGACACCGAUAAACAAGAUGAAAGAUCAGAACUUUAACUCAUUUUUACUGAUUCAUGCAUCUUAUCCUAGACUUUGUGUGACUUAUAAGAAAUAUUGAAACAUCAGAUACAGGAUGAGCCUUCUGCUCUCUCCUAGGGUAAUUUGUGCUACACUAGUUAGCAUCGAAACUCCUGUUCCCAAGAAACAGGACUAUACAAAUUGCAGUCCAGUUGAUAUUGGAUAUGUUUUACCUGCAACUUCUAAAAUGCUUCCGUGUUCUCGUGCAUGCUAUCAGAGAUGUCUGAGUGGCAAAUGAUAAGUAUGCUUGAUCAUCUAUCCUCUAUUGAAAUUUCUCAUAUCUGAUUUGUACUCUUUUCUUUCGGAAUGGAUUCUCAGGAUAUCGAGAUGAACAAUAGAAAAACUAGAGUGCACCAGGGUGAUGGAACUUUCAAAUCUACUGGAUGGAAGAAUCUGAGGGUGGGAGACAUAGUGAAGGUGAAGAAGGAUGAAUACUUUCCAGCAGACCUCCUCUUGCUCUCAUCAACUUUUGAAGAUGGAAUCUGCUAUGUUGAGACCAUGAAUCUAGAUGGAGAAACAAAUUUGAAACUCAAACAGGCAUUGGAGGCAACAGCAUUCAUGCACGAGGACUCUUACUAUAGGGAUUUCAAGGCUCUUAUCAAAUGUGAAGACCCAAAUACAAAUUUGUACUCCUUCGUUGGCACUCUGGACUUUGAACAGAACCUGUAUCCCCUCUCUCCUCAACGGCUUCUCCUCAGAGACUCCAAACUCAGAAAUACAGAGUAUAUAUAUGGGGCAGUUAUCUUCACUGGACAUGACACAAAGGUUAUGCAAAAUUCUACAGCUCCCCCUUCAAAGAGAAGCAAAUUUGAGAAGCAGAUGGAUAAAAUUGUUUACUUCUUAUUCUUUGUUCUAUUUAUGAUGGCAUUUAUUGGAUCUCUUGUUUUCGGAGUUGCAACUGACAAUGACUUGGAUGGAGGGAGGAUGAAAAGGUGGUAUCUCAAACCAGAUGAGUCUACUGUUUACUUUGACCCUAAAAGAGUGGUCUUAGCAUCAAUUUGUCACUUUCUGACUGCUCUCAUGUUGUACAAUUACUUCAUCCCAAUCUCCCUGUACGUGUCAAUUGAAGUCGUCAAAGUUUUUCAGAGCAGUUUCAUCAACAACGAUAUCAAUUUGUACUAUGAGCCAUCUGACAGGCCAGCACAUUCUCGCACCUCAAAUUUGAAUGAGGAACUUGGGCAAGUGGACACGAUACUUUCUGACAAGACUGGAACAUUGACCUGCAAUUCCAUGGAGUUCAUCAAGUGUUCUGUCGCGGGGACUGCUUAUGGCCAUGGGGUUACAGAGGCUGAGCGGGGAAUGGGUGUGAGAGAAGGUGAAAGUGUGAAUGGUUGGGACCAGAGCAAGGAUUCUUCCACUACAAAACCGCACAUUAAAGGUUUCAAUUUUAAAGAUGAAAGGAUUAUGGAUGGGAACUGGGUCCAUGAACCCCAAGCUAACAUCAUUGAAAAUUUUUUCCUCUUGUUGGCAAUCUGUCACACUGCCAUACCUGAUGUGGAUGAAGAAACGGGGAAGAUUUCAUACGAAGCUGAAUCACCAGAUGAAGCAGCAUUUGUGAUUGCUGCAAGAGAAAUUGGUUUUGAAUUCUACAAAAGGACUCAAACAAGCGUUGCAGUGCGUGAGUACAAUCCAAAGACUGGGAAGAAAGUUGAAAGGGUGUAUACAGUUCUGAAUGUUUUGGAGUUUAACAGUGCAAGAAAGCGGAUGUCUGUGAUAGUAAGAAAUGAGGAGGGGAAACUGCUAUUACUUUGUAAAGGUGCUGACAGGUUUGUGAUCAACUACCUUGAAACCCUUGAAAUUGGAAAAUUCCUUGUCUUUUAACCUAUUGCUUAUUAAUUAAAUUUAACCUGUAUCAUAUGCAGUGUCAUGUUUGAAAGGCUUGCUAAGAGUGGAAGGGGGUUUGAAGAGGAGACCAAGAAUCAUGUGAAUGACUAUGCUGAUUCUGGCCUGAGGACCCUAAUACUUGCCUAUCGUGAACUUGCUGAAGAAGAAUACAAAAUUUUUAACCAGAAAUUCACCGAGGCUAAGAAUUCAGUUAGUGCAGAUCGGGAAACAUUGAUUGAUGACAUGGCAGAGAAGAUCGAGAGGAAUCUAGUUCUUCUUGGCGCAACUGCUGUUGAGGAUAAACUCCAAGAAGGGGUGAGUAAGAAAACCUAAAAUGUUCUAAAAUAAACCGGCCUUUUUAGAGAUCUUGAAUUUUUUGUUCUUAUACUGUGUACCCUUUAGGUUCCUGCCUGCAUAGACAAACUUGCUCAAGCUGGAAUUAAGAUGUGGGUUUUGACUGGAGACAAAAUGGAGACUGCCAUAAACAUUGGGUAUGUUGUUUUUUGAAAAAGAGUGUUUGUAUUGACACUUUUAAGAUGAGUGGACAUUUCAUAUUAUACGUGGAGGCAUCUGACUUAAAAUUUUGAAUAUGCAGCUUCUCCUGUUGUUUGCUUAGACAAGGAAUGAAGCAGAUCAUAAUCAAUUUGGAGAAUCCAGAGAUCCUGUCAUUGGAAAAAACAGGAAACAAGGAUGCCAUUACUAAGGUAAAGACUGCUUUAAUUCAUCAAAGAUUUCAGUCCACUUCAGGUUAUUUACCCGUGAUUUAUUUUCCUUUUCUCCUGGUGUCAUCUCGGUUGGGAGAAAGGGUGUUGAAGUCAAAGAUGCACCUUAAUUGUUAUGAAUCUAUAUGUGAUAUUGAUGGUAUAUACAUUCAUUUUCCAGGCAUCAAGGGAAAGUGUUCUUCGUCAAAUAACUGAUGGAACGGCCCUGCUUACUGGACCAAGUGGAACUGCUGAGACAUUUGCAUUGAUAAUUGAUGGAAAAUCACUCGCUUACGCAUUAGAGGAUGACAUGAAACAUUUGUUUCUAGAUCUUGCUAUGAGUUGUGCAUCUGUCAUUUGUUGCCGUUCAUCACCAAAACAGAAAGCACUGGUGGGUUAUUAUUCUUAGUUUUUCACUGCUGUAGGUGCAUGUGUUGUUAGAUAGUAAAGACUUUCUUCUGUACACUUCUCUUGAAAGAAUAAUUGUUUUAAAUGGUAAAAUACAGGUUACAAGACUAGUCAAAUCUGGAACCAGGAAAACAACAUUAGCAAUUGGUGAUGGUGCCAAUGACGUGGGUAUGCUUCAAGAAGCAGAUAUUGGAGUCGGAAUCAGUGGUGUUGAAGGAAUGCAGGUCUUUUCCACAGAACAGCUUACAUCUCAAUUAAUUGUUGAAAAUAUUUCUCUACUUGAUUGUAAUUCUCACCACCUGUUAACCCUAUUUUAUGCUUGUUUUCAACUCAGGCUGCCAUGGCAAGUGAUGUUGCAAUUGCUCAGUUUCGGUAUUUGGAGCGUUUACUACUUGUACAUGGGCAUUGGUGUUACAGGAGGCUCUCAUCUAUGGUAAGGUCAUUCAUAUGUUUGGAUUUGGACAUGGCUUAAUAUUUCAGUAUGGGCAUUAAAUUAACGUCAAUGAUUAUUGAUGAAUGUGAAAUGUCAUCAUGAGUUUUCACCUUUUCAUGAUUAUACUGAUAUAUAUAUAUAUUUUCAUAUGCAGAUAUGCUAUUUCUUCUACAAGAACAUUGCCUUUGGUUUCUCCAUUUGGCUAUAUGAGGCUUAUACAUCAUUUUCUGCACAGUCUGUAUACGGUGAUUGGUUUUUGUCAUUUUAUAAUGUCUUCUUCACGGCUCUUCCAGUUGCCGCUUUGGGUAUCUUUGAACAAGAUGUAUCUGCUGCAAGCUGUCUCAAGGUAUCUCACUCACUCACUUAGCAGACUCAAUUAUGGUCAUUAGAUGGUUAGUAAAGCAAAGUAAACAUCUUGGCCAAAUUUUGAUCAUUUUUUGACUUAUUUCAUAUUUCAGUAUCCUCUACUAUACCAAGAAGGCGUGAAAAAUCUCCUCUUUGGGUGGCGCCGAGUACUUCAUUGGCUGGGUAACGGGUUCUAUACUGCACUAGUCGUUUUCUUCUUCUGCUCAACUGCACUGCAGCACCAAGCCUUCAACCGUGAUGGAAAAACUGUUGGGAUGGAUGUUUUAGGAGGAACCAUGUAUACUUGCAUCGUGUGGGCUGUGAACUUGCAGAUGGCAUUGACUGUUUGUUACUUCACCAAAAUACAGCGUGGCCUAAUUAUAUAUUGUCUUUGUAUGUUGUACAUUUUCUUCGUGGCAUUUGGGUCCCUGUCUCCGUCAAUGUCUGCAAUUGGCUACAAACUCUUUACAGAAGCCCUUGCCCCGGCUGCUUCUUACUGGUUUACAAUCAUAUUUGUGAUAAUCGCAGCACUGUUGCCCUUCUAUGCAUAUUCAGCAAUUGAAACAAGGUUCUUUCCCAUGUACCACCAGAUGAUACAAAGGUUAGAGAGUGGGAAACAUGAAGAUGAUCCUGAGUAUUGUGAUAUGAUGCGACAAAAGUUAUUGCAGCCACCAACAUCAGUAGGUUUUUCAGCACGGUUGGCAGCACGAGCUAAUAAGUUAAGGCGUAAGAAUAAGAAUCAGCCACAAUAAUAGCUGAUUGUUCCUGGAGGGCAUCUGUCAACAUUUCUGGGUUGUGGUUAUCUGCUCAGAAGCUGAACUCUGUCCCAGCUGUAUACGACUUAAUGAGGCUUCUACUUUACCAGAAGGUAUGGCCCUGCAAGUUAAGAGUUUUUGGUGAUUUUUUAUGGAAGCAUCGUUCAGCUGUACCAUAAGUGGAACAGGAGACUUAUGCCAAAAGGAAUUUAAAUUUUGUUUGUUGUAAAAGAAAUGUAAUUUUUAUACCAACUUGUAUUAUUAUUACAAUGUAUUUAGGACACCAUUGAAUUGGUCGUAGAUUUGGAUUGUAUUUGUUGUUUACAAGAAUAAACUCUUCUUUUUCUUAUUGUAACUUGUAGUUCUAUUGAGUUUAUUAUUUUUUAUUACUUCUUAAUAAACUUGGAUUCUUGUUUACUAUUGAUUAUGGAGUAGAGGAAUUUUCGUUUUCUUGUCUUUAAUUCCCUAUGCUUGAUGAAUUUGUUGAAUCUCCUGAAGCACACAACGGAUAUCUAGCUUGUAACUGCAGUUAAAUGUUAAAACAGCAGGCGGCCAAACGCCCUCUCAUUCUUAGCUGAACAUUCAUUGAUUGGAACUUGAAAUUCUCGGCUAUAAUGUUCUUUCUCUUUUCCUUUUUGGUAAUCUUGGCCAUAACGUUGUUUCCUUGGCAGAAUAAAUGUCAAUAUAAUUGUUUGUUCUUUACCUGGGAAACACCAGAGAGGGAACUGAUAAGUGAACUUCCUUAUUGCCCUGGUUUGAUUUCUAAAUGAGUUAGUUGCACAAAAGCUUUAGCCCUAAUCUCAGUGGUUUCAGGUUGAAUUUUAAAUGAGUCAAUUUGAUCUAUAAUUGUGUUGCCCUUUACUGCAAGUUCCCAUUCCAUCUCUCACCCACAGUUAGCAUCCGUAUCUGAGUUUGCUCUUGCCAAGCCAGAUUAAUCCAAUUCUGCAGAAUUCUUUGUAAGGAUCACAGAACAGAAUAUUGAUUUACGUACGACCAUAAUUUGCAGCACACAUUUUGUUUUGUUACUGCAAAAAUAUACUGAGCCAGGAUUAAGUGAAUGGUUAAUCCAUUAGUUGAUGCAUAGAAAUGGCUGUAUCUGGAUGGAUCUGUAGAUGAUAUCGCCUCAAUUAUGAUAGGGAAAAUAGAGUUACUCAUACAAUGAGUUCUUCACAUAAAUGCAACUGGCCAUCAUCAGUAAUUGCAAGAAACUGAAGUUCAUGCAAAAACAUCUUACAUUGCCAUAACCAUGAUCUUAUUCUUAGCAAUCCAAUUACACGGAUUAACAACUACCCUUUUUCCAUUGAAUCAUUGCAUCCAGUUUUCAUGCAUUCAGAGGCCAAAUUGCUUUCUCAAAUGCAGACCGUUGGCCUUGAAUGAUAUGGCAGCCGGUUUCCUAACUUCCAUAGAUUGGUGAUGCCACCAGUAAUGUCAUGUAGCAGAAAAAUUAGUAAUGAAAAUCUUGGACUGGUAGAUAAAAUGUCGUUUUCAUGUUAUUUAUUUAUGUCGACAAUUCCAACCACUACAAUAAAUAUAACAUUAUGCAAUCUACAAGUUGUGUUAACAUGUUUCAAGUGGGAUUCAGGUCUCUCCUCCUUCCAUCUUGUUUACAGGUAUCCCAUGACCAGAUCUUAAAAGAAUUACAUCUACACACAAGAAAUUACGAGAAAGAUGAUAGAAAAAAAUAAGUGAAAGGAAAAGGUCAUCGGAUCAUGCCAAACCAUCAAUGAUAUUGCAGAUCGCCAGAUCCCCAUCAGAGAACAAAAUGCUAAUGACAUAUUAAUGGAUAUUGCAGAUCCCCGCGACGUCCAUGUCCAUGUAUUAACAAGACCAUACCCAUCAUCGAUCAGGCUCUAUGGAACUUUGAUGCCAAGAAAAUCAGCAGCAGAUUUUGCCAUGACGUUUGCAAACUCAUUAAAACUCAAAACACCAUCUCCAUUGGUGUCAGCCUCUCUCAUCAUAUCUGAUAGCUCACGAUACGUCAAAGGGUGUCCCAUUUUAGCCAUUGAUCCUGCAAGCUCAGCAGCAGUAAUGAAUCCAUUGCCAUCCCUGUCAAAUGAUCGAAAAACCUCCAACAACUGCUCCUGGUUGAUCAAUACUUCUUCAUUCAUAUCAGGCAAUAUAGCACUGACCAGCUCAUCAAACUCAACAUAACCAUUUCCAUUAGCAUCCAUGUUUGAUAACAGAACAUGAAGUUGAUCACCUGUAGGUUUGAGGCCAAGAGAACGUAGAAGCGCAGCGAGCUCCAGCUGCGUGAGGCUGCCAUCGGAAUCCAUGUCGAAGCGAAUGAAGAUGUCCUUGAGCUGCUUGAGCUGAUCGGUCUGAAGGGUUGCCAUCAUGUCUGGAUGGAAAUGGAGGAGGUGAAAGGAAAGGAAAUUAAAGGAAAGGAAUGGUUUUUUUUCUUUUUUUUUGUAUCUGUAUUUUGGCUGGUUAAGGAUGCGGGGCUAAUUGAGUGUUGUUCUUUUCAACUGGAAUGGUUCAACCAAAACCGCGUUAUAUCAUUGCCGUGUUAUGUGGGGGGUAAAAACGAGCAAAGGAAUUACGCAGUCAAGUUUCUGAAAUAUUCUCUGUGAACGUUGGGGCAUGUGGGUUCGCGGUGGCGUUGCCUUAUUUUUUUCAAAACUCCAUGUUUGCUAUUUUUGUGCUCUAUUUUGAUCUUUCUCAGGACAUAGUUGUCUUAGAAAGAAUUAUUACAAGAAAGUAUCUGGAACAGAAUAAUGGUACUUUUUGUACAUUCAUCUAAAAACCUUGACACCGGCUUUGAAGGGCGUUGAGUUCUCUUUUCAUACUCUAUUCAUUAUUAUAAAAUUAAUCGAGAAUAAAUAAAUAUUUUUUUAAUUUAGAUUGCACAAUAAAAAAAACUAUGAUAUAGCAAAAUAAAAAGAAUAUGGCAUGAAAGAAUAUUUCAAAAUAAUUUUUUUUAUUAUAAUUUAAACUUAUAGAAAAUUUUUAUUUGAUCAAAUAUAAAAAAUAAUGAACAAUUAAAAUGUAUAGUAAAAUAAUAAAAAUAUUCUUAAAAUAAAAUAGAAAUUGAAUGAUUUUUGAAGGUUUAGUAUCGAUAGUAAAAUAUUUUAAUUAAUUUAAUACAUUUAUGUGAAUAAAAUUAGAAUGAAUCAUCAUUAAUUGUGAAUGUUUUUAAUUUAAUAUGUAUCUUAUAGUAUUUAACAUAUAUGUUUAUUUUAUGUUUACGUUUAAAUAUAUCAUAUUAAUACGUUUGAUUUUGAUCCAUAAAAAAUACACUUAAUCAUAGAAAAUAUUAAAGGGCUUAAUUUUAAUUAGUGGGUCUAUAGAAAAAAUCACAAAACAACUAUUAAUUAUUGAAAUAAAUAAAUUUUAAUAAAAUAUUAAAUAAUGGGAAAAAAACAAAUUAAAAAAAAAAAGGAAAGUGGGGUCAGGGUGUGACAACAGGGCUCGCGUGCUUCGUCGGCUGGAUGUGCAUGGCCUCGGCGUUAAAAAAAUCAAGAAUAGAGGUGAACAGCGUGUCAUCAGCAACAGGUGGAACUUUUGAUGACUGUUUCGUCGAAAAAUCGGCAGCCGCUAGUUUUGACCUCAAAAGUCAAAACCCAAUUUCUAUACUAUUUUUACCUUUAAAUCAUCCCAUCAAUAUUUAAAAACUAUUUUUAAACCUCAAAAUAUAUUUUUAAUCAACUCUAAGAACUCAAAAAUUAUGAUUCUCUCCUCCCUUCUCUCUCAUUGAUUCUCCCCUCAUUCUACAUACACGGGCCUCAUGUUAACACUAAUAAAUUUUGGGGACCAUUCUAUAUAAACCUUGAGCACUGAGGACCAGAAUGAAUUCACAUUUGUAAGAAAUUACUUUAAUUUUAAUUUAAUUUAAUUUUUGUAUAAGGAUGUUGUUUUUUUAGCACCAUAGCUAGCCUAUUCAUAGCUGCAGUGCAACCCUUCAUUAUCUUUUAGUUAAUUAUUUUAAUUUAAUUAAUAAUAAUGUAAUUUAAUUUAGUCAAUAAAUAAUAUUUACAGAGGAGGCAAAAAGAAAGAUAAUUUCUUGUGAAAGCAUUGGCAAGUUUGGAGGGCUGAUAAAACUCCAAUGAAGAGAGAUUUAAAUACUGUCAGGGGAUUUGUCUAGAAAUUAUUUUUAUUUAAAAAUAUAUUAAAAUAAUAUUUUUUUAAUUUAUUUUUAACAUCAGAUUAUCAAAACAAUCUAAAAUUAUUUUGAAAUUUAAAAAACUCAAAAACAUUUAAAAAUGAAUAGUAACUUGGAUGACACGGGAAGGUUAGUUUUUGAAUGGAUUGGCCUUGGGAGCAUGAAGGUUUGAAAGUUAUCGCUUCUGUUGAAUGUUCAAAUUGAGGAGAGAAUUCAGUGGUUGACUAGUGAAAACCAUUCAGGGUGUGAAAUCAAAAUUGAGUUUGCUAAUAAAACCAAUAAUUAAUCAAACCCAUCUGAAAAGAUUCUCAUCCUCCCCCAGAAUCCACAAUGCUAAUCGUUGAAAAUUAUCGCAUUACACAUUAAACAAUGAAUGCAGCGUUGAACAUUCUUAGAAAAUCACCAUAUUCGUCCUCCCAGACCAGUAUACACAGGAGGGGAGUGAAAUUAUAUCGUUGGAUCUAUCUAAAUUCUUUUCAUUGUUUUAUUUAAACCCAGUAAACGUAAGAUAGGUGUCAUCAUUGUACAGAUGCCUGCUCUCUUGACUCCCUCUGGGAUUGAUUGGCAUGUUAAAAGCAAAAUAUGCUAUUGGUGAGAGCACCAUAUGGAAUUUUGAUUAUGGAUAUGUUCAUAAAUUGGCAAUAAUAAUGGUGUGUUUUCAUUCUUCCAAAACUCUAGCUCCUCCUGACGCUUCAAAACAUGGGAUAGAAGCCAUUGUCACGAGCUGAGAUCAAUCAGCCCAGAUUUCGAGUCUUUCAGUGGCUUUCUUUAUUUAACACUUCAUUUGAUCCCGAUCACUGCUUGUGACACACACUAUAACUAGUCACAUCGGCACCACCCUGUACCGGUGCAAUCAUCAUUUGCUACAGAUGUAUAACUGGAUAUAUUCACACCAUUCAUUCUUCAUUACUUUGUUAUCCACGAGAAAAAGAAUGUAAACUGUUUGGCAUGCAACCAGGAAUACAAGAGAAAAUGGUAAGAGUCAACUGAGAGUGACACGACUCUUACAUGCUUCAAGAUGAAUGAACAAAAUUGAAUCGAGAUUUUAUUAACACAAAAAAUACUGUUCAGAACAAAAAUUUGCAGGCGCUAAUUACAAGAAGAAAGAAUUACAGCACCUGUGACAUGGGAAAAUUAUAAUAACCUAGCUACCAGUAUCAAGGGCUUGAAAUCCAAUCCCUACAGGAGACAGUUCAUUUCAGAGACCAUCCUGUACAUCGUGAGCUUGUAUAUGUUCCAUCUCAAAAUUCAUGAAUCCUACUGUUCAUAGAUGAAUUUAUCUCUAACACUAUUUACCAUGUGCUCUUUAAUUAUCCAGGCUAUAACAAUCUAUACUGUAAUUUUGACUACCAAAUGCCAUCCUUCGAAACAGUCUAAUUUCUUCAGAUUGUUGUGCAGAGUUGAAUAGCUCACUUUCUCCCACUCUCAUUCCGUUGGUUAGAUCUGCUAUCGCUAAAGUAUCAAAAGCUCUAACAACCUGAGAAGCAUAGGCAGGCUUAGAGAAAUGCACCUAACAUCUCCAAAUCUGGACUUUUAAUGGAGAAGCAAGAAUUUUCAGCUAGUUCAGUGAUCAAAUUGCAAUUACCUGUCCCAUCCGUGGCCUCUUAGAAGCUGAAUGCCGCACACAGGCCGCAGCAGCCUCAAUCAUCCGGAACAUUUCGCUUUCAAUGUAGUUCUUUUCAAGCCUUGGAUCUGCCAAACUUUCAAGUUCCUCAUUUUCUAGUGCAUGAUUUAGCAAAGGUCGAGCCUGGAAGAAAGGUAAGAAAAGUUUCAGCAUGAAAUUGUGGAAAAUCAAAUACCAGUUCAACACUUCUAUUUCUUUCAACAUGUGCAUUUUUUAGUUUUCUUUCUAUACAUUCCAAAAAAAAAUUACUGGAAAGAGAACAAAAGAAAACUACAAACAGCAGGAUUAUGUAUUCUCCACCACAAGGUACAGAGAAGAGGAAACAACAUCAAGACAUAACAUUGUUUCACCUCUGUACAUUUGUUUCAUUGGUUACACACUUUUUUUUUUAUUCUUGCACUGAGGAAUAUCAUAAUUAUGCAUUGAAUUUAAAUCAAGGUUCAGUAAGAUUAGUCCUAGAUCUGGGAAGGCUUUUAAUUUUCCAUGUACUGAGUUAUUUUCUUCAGUAUAAAAUCUAUAUAUGAUUAGAGGCCACAGGCCACGAAAUCAAUGGAGCUCCAGAAAACUCAACAGAACCCCGAUCCCCCACCCUGCAUACACCAAGGAAUAACAUCCACUCAAUAAGCAAAUCUUCCAAACAACCUAUUUCUAAAAUAAGCACACCUGUUCCUGAAUCAAACCACUAUGGGAAUAUAUAAGAAGUUCAGAACAGGUCUUGUAGCCUUUUUACCGAUUCUAUCCACAAUUCAAAUGUGAGAAACUAGUAGUGUUUCGAGCAGAAGGUAACCAUGUUUCUAUUACCCUUGUAACUAAUUUUCUAACAAAUGUAGCAACUUCAGAAACAUCUUCUCAUAUCAAAACUAAGCAGUGAGAAGAAAAACAUAUAACAGAAAGCAUAAAAAAUUACACGACUCAAACUAAGCUGUAUCGAUAUAACCAGAAACUUCAGGAUAAAUGAUCUAAUUGAAUUUAUCAUUUAUGCAUGCUGAAAUAGAAGGCAAAUCUUUAGAAUAGAUCUGCUCAGCAGACGAGGGUUGCUAAGAAUAAGGUCCACAAAGAGUAAUUGAUCCAUCAAUAAAACUGUCAUUCAAAUCCUUAUUACUAGCAACUAGGUUAUUGGAUCUGGAUGUAUCUUAAUGCAUGCUCCAGUUAACAAUCAACAAUUCGUGAAAAUUGAAUGAGUCUAUCGUCCAGAAGCAGAAUGCUAGCCAGGGUGCAUAAACUACUUACCCAUUCAACAAGACUCUCCUCUCCCAUGGGCUGGGAUGCAUCCACAGGCUUCCGUCCAGUGAUUAGCUCCAAAAGCACAACUCCAUAUGAGAAUACAUCAGAUUUCUCUGUUAAUUUGCCGCUUGAUGCAUAUUCAGGGGCCAUGUAUCUGAGUGAUCAAUUAAACAUUAGAUGCACAUAGACAUGGCUGAUAUAUGUUCAUUGCACAGGAAAAGAAAACCAAAUACAGCUGUACUUUGAAAAUAGUAUUCCCAUCAACUCCCGACUGCCCAAAAGGGCUGAAACCCUCCCUGCUCACACAAAAAAGGGCAGAGAGAGAAUAGGGGUGCCCCUCAGUGGCCCUGUAGUGGCAGGUAUUUAAGCAAAUAAUAGAUGAUCUCUUACCCAAAGGUUCCCAUAACACGAGUUGUUACAUGAGUGUUUGAAUCAAGAGCUAAUUUGGCAAGCCCAAAGUCUGAAACCUGCAAAUUAAAAUCUAGAAACAGUUAAACCACAAUCUAAUUGAAACUAAUCAUAAACAAAUGUUAAAAGGGAAAAUUGUGCAUACCUUAGCUUCAUAGUUGUUAUCUAAGAGAAUAUUUGACGACUUAAUAUCCCUGUGAAUAAUCCGAGGAUGACCUGAACAAAUAAUAGUAAAUCAAAUGAAUAACACCUCCACCAUAUGUAGUCUAAUAAGGAAACCCAUUCAUUAUUUUAGCGUUAAGGAAAUAGCGCACCUAUCAAUGAACAUUAUAUGGCUGGAGUUCUUAUUAACAUGUUCUUAACUCUAGAUCAUCAGUAGUACCAAAAUUGAUAUUUUCAUACUAAUCUUGAUUGAGGUAGAAUUCUGUAUGUGCUUUAAGGAUGAGAAUAUUGUGAAAUUGCAUUCGGUUAUUAGAUCCUUGUUUUUUAUUACUGAAAGUUGGAUCAUAACUUUUGAAAAUGAAGAGUGGGUACGGAUGGAUGGCUUAACCUUUCAAUAACAAGAAUAGGGAAAAGGAAAGCAGUUGCCAAGUGUUGAAAAAGAACAAAAAACAGGUGAAUAAUGUCUUGAGUUAAUUUUGGAAGUGAAUGUGAACAUUAUCUAGCUAAUAAAAUCCAGAUUUGAAAUACUUACAGUCUUCAUGGAGAUAAGCUAUUCCCCGAGCUGCUCCAGCAGCAAUCUUAACACGUGUUGCCCAAUCCAGAGCCAGCCCACCCACCCCUACAGAAAGAAAGACCAACAAGCAUGACUGAUGAUCAUUUUUAUGAACUGACAUGCCAAAUCUCAUCUAUAAGUUGUAGCUUUACCGUGAAGAUGGAAAUAAAGGGUAUUGUUAGGGACAUAAUCAUAUACGAGCAAUCUUCGGGUCUCACAUAUGCAGUAGCCCACAAGAGAAACCAAAUGGCGGUGGUGUACGCGACUAAUAAUCUCAACUUCAGCUUUAAAUUCUCGCUCACCUUGCCCUCCACCAAUUUUUAGCUGUUUCACUGCCACAUCUCUCCCAUCUGGAAGGUAACCUUUGUAUACAGAACCAAAUCCACCUUCUCCCAAAAGGUUUUGGGAUGAAAACCCAUUUGUCGCCUUGACUAGCUCUUCAAACGCAAACAAAGGCCUUGAAUUACCUAAUCCGCUUGAUUCAGUUGGCAAAGAAACACAAUCACUGCUAGAACCACUUGCAAUUAGGGGAGCCGUAGAAUGAGUCUUUGUGAAAGUUGAACCUGAGGGGGCAAAUUUGAAAAACUUCAGAGUUCUUGUCAACAAUCUCAUUCAAAGUGCUUAGCAGCAAUCUCAUUAAAUGCAAGUUUGCUAAGAAUAGAUUACCUUCUUAGUAGGAGAAAUCAGAAUAGAUUAACCAAUUAUCUGUAUUUUUAUAAGAUCCAAACCAUAUGAUUUAGUUUUGCCAUUUUUAUUUGUUAAAGAAAAUAUGCUCUCGAACAUUUGAUUGUAUAUCAGAUGCAGUUCAAUUGGCAAAAGUUAAAUCAAAUUAUGAGAAUAAACACCAACCGAAGUUUUGGGACCCUCUUGGCAGAAUUCCGAAUAGCGUUACCUAGUGACUAGGAGUGGUACUAUUGAGAAAAGUCAUAACAAGCUAAAGAAGCAAAGGUGAAAUGCUGUUUAAAAUAAACACCUGAUCUUGGAGAAGAGCCCAAAGAAGAUGGCAUAACAUAAACACCAUUGAGUCCAGAAAUCUCUUUUCGCCGCCUCCUCAUGCACCAGAGAGCCAGUCCAACAAGGCUGAGCAUUAUAAUUCCUAUUGCUGCACCAAUAGCCACCAUACCUCCAGUACCGAUGCCCCCAUUACCUGUGGAGUUUGAACUUCCAGGUGAAUUAGGGGCGGUAUUGUUCGUGGGUGAUGGCGGGGAAACAAGUGCGCGUGGAGGCGGAGCCAAUCUUAUUUUUGGCGGUGACAAUGCUGGUGGAUUGGAAUCUGAUGGGACAGGUGUUGCUUGAGGAGAAGUUGGAGGAGUAAGCCUAGGAGGUGGGGGCACAUUACUGGGACGAGGGGCUAUUGAAAUUGGUGGACGUGGUGAAUUCUCAGGUGGAGUUGAUGCUGGUGGUGGAGGUGAUCUUCGAGGAGGUGGCAAGGAUGCUGGUGGGGGGGUCGGAGGAGGUGGUGGUGGUGAAUUUUGAGGUGGCCUAGAUGAGGGUUGUGAUGGAGGUGAACUCUGAGGUGGCGGUGUUGAUGGUGGUGGAGGUGAACUCUGAGGUGGCAGAGAUGGUGGUGGAGGUGAACUCUGAGGUGGCGGUGAUGAUGGUGGUGGUGGAGAUGAGAUUUGAGGCGGUGAUGGAGAUGAACUUUGAGGUGGAGGUGUCGAUGAUGGUGGUGGAGAAUUUUGAGGUGGUGUUGUUGAUGGUGAUGGUGGAGAGGAACUUGUAGGUGGAUUCAACAGUGGUGGUGGAGGUGCAGUUGAUGGUG